rnacentral:ncRNA from 3 species
CAUUGUGAAGCAGAAUUCA